rnacentral:rRNA from 1 species
GACGAACGCUGGCGGCGUGCCUAAUACAUGCAAGUCGAACGGAAAGGCCCUGCUUUUGUGGGGUGCACGAGUGGCGAACGGGUGAGUAACACGCGAGUAACCUGCCCUUGACAUUGGGAUAACUUCAGGAAACUGGGGCUAAUACCGGAUAGGAGCUCCUGCUGCACGGUGGGGGUUGGUAAGAUUCGGCGUUUGGGGAACGACUCGCGGCGUAUCAGCUUGUUGGUGGGGUAGUGGCCUACCAAGGCUUCGACGGGUAGCCGGCCUGAGAGGGUGACCGGCGACACUGGAGCGGAGACAGGGACAAGAGGACUAAGGGAGGCAGCAGAAGGGAACGUGAGGCAGUGGGGGAAAGCAUGGCGGAGCAGCGCGGCGUGAGAGACGAAGACGCUGGGUGCGUAAAGAUGUGUUUCGAGGGAAGAACCGCUGUGUACUGAAACGAAGCGUGAGUGACGGUAACGGAUAAGAAAGCAACGGCUAACUACGUG